AGAACGAACGCUGGCGGCAGGCCUAACACAUGCAAGUCGAACGCUCCGCAAGGAGAGUGGCAGACGGGUGAGUAACGCGUGGGAAUUUCCCCCAAGGUUCGGAAUAACUGAGGGAAACUUCAGCUAAUACCGAAUGGUACCGAGAGGUUAAAGAUUUAUCGCCUUGGGAUGAGCCCGCGUUGGAUUAGCUAGUUGGUGAGGUAACGGCUCACCAAGGCUUUGAUCCAUAGCUGGUCUGAGAGGACGACCAGCCACACUGGGACUGAGACACGGCCCAGACUCCUACGGGAGGCAGCAGUGGGGAAUCUUGGACAAUGGGCGCAAGCCUGAUCCAGCCAUGCCGCGUGGGCGAUGGAGGUCUUCGGAUUGUAAAGCCCUUUUGGCGGGACGAUAAUGACGGUACCCGCAGAAUAAGCUCCGGCUAACUUCGUGCCAGCAGCCGC
rnacentral:rRNA from 1 species